GGGGAGCCGCCAUCAAAGUCAAGAGGGGAAGGGAGACUGAGACCCGCCGCCGGCGGCGAACGCGCAGGGGUUGGGAUUAGGAAGGUUGUGUACUCGUCGCCGCCGUCCCACAGGACCGGGUCGCCGCCGUCCCAUGGGGUUAGCGCGAAGUUGCGGACUUAGGUGAAUCGCGUGCCUAGGUCGCCGCUGUCCCACAGGACCGGCGCUCGCGGCCCCGUUCCGCCAGGCCGCCGCCGCAACACCGUCGAAGCGACAUAAGGUCAGGCAGUUCCUAAUGCCAGGAUGAGGCUAGGGUUCAAGGGUUGUCGGGUUGUGGCAGCGAGUAUAUAUGUAGGACCGCUUAGGUUGGGGACAUAUCUGCUUUCGGCCACGAUUUUUUAAGAAGGACCAUCUUUAAGUUUGGGUUCUUGUACUCGACGUCCCCUUAGAGCGGCAGGCAGGAGAACGGAGGCAAGGAGAUGUUCGGGUGCCGGAAGGCGGAGGACGUCGGUGUCGGUCUCGUCAGGAGACACCAGAACCUGUCUUGGUCUCCUGAGAAUAAAGUUGUGUCGACAUCUGGCGGACACAACGGAGUUCGCUACGACGAAGGAGCCGUGAUGAUGUGGCGGGGUACCGUACCAGGCUAGGUUCCCGCAGACAAGGUGUUGUAGUAGUUCGUGUAAUUAGCUGGCGGACGUAAUCGUGUUCGCUGUGACGAAAGAGCCGGGAUGGCCUGCCACGGUACCGUACCCCUCCAGAACCGGAGUUGAGUAGCUGCGGAGAAGUCGGCAUAAAACGGAGUGUUAUCAGCUAACGGACGCAAUCGUGCCCCCCGUGACGAUGGAUCCACAAAGAUGUGGUGGUGUGCCGUUAAGUUCCUGUACCUUAGAUAGGCUUCUGAGGAAAAAGCUCCGUAAUGUGGACCGUAGAAAGAAGGAGCCACCAUGAAGUCACGAGGUAACGUCGUUGUCGUCUAAAACCCUGGGUAGGCUCCUGAGAAGAAGCCAGUAUAAGCAGUUCAACAUACAGCCGGAACCGUCAUAACGCACCGGGGUAGCUCUAGCCGCUAGGUAAAACGAGCAUCGAUGAAACCUACAAACACCUUCCAGUGUCACCGACGUCGAAAAUAGUUGUAAUACACCAGCAAACAGAUGGUGUGAAUAGAACAAGCACAGGGUAUGUGGUCGGUUUGAGCAAAGAAUGCGAAACUCUGACACGGAAUAUGGUUGGCCUAGGUGAAACAGCAAGCGAGAGGAGAUCUACUGGCGCUCAUACCGCUCAGUACAAAAAGAUACAAGUUCUCCUUAAUGGGUAGGUGCAAGAAAUCGGGCGAGGUGGGGCUGUCACAUGCACAGUUAGAAUAGUGUCGCUUUGAACAAGCGCGGCAAGUUGCACCGGAACUAUAGUUCCCAAGACUACGCCGGAACCAGGUACCGAGGGGACCGUUUCUGCGCUCGAAUCUACCAUCCGUACGUCAACUCUCGUUAUUUGUCCCGUUCAGUACGUCUAGUGUCGGUGUCUAUUGAGUGGAACUACCAGAACUGAACCUCCACAAACAAUACUUUUUACUAGUCGUAUACCCACGUCACAGUACCAGGUUACCGUUUUAAAAUCACAAGUGACCUAACGAGUUAUUAAACCUCUGACUACGGCUUUAACGAUGAUAAGAACGUGUACUCUAACGUGUAAACCAACGGUCUGUGACCAGUCUCAAUUAAUAUAUAUUCUUCACCAAAGGAAUAGGAGAGUUCCACAUGAAGCAUGCUUCCUAGCUCUCUCUCCGUCUAGCGUACCCUUACGACUAUUACCGACGACGACCAAAGCUAGGUGUGUAUCGGGGAUUCUGGCAACUCUUCGAUCGACCCUUACUGUAUAUAGUAGGAAGCCCCUUCUUUUCUCGUGUCGAAAAUAGAUUUCGUUUAUAGUACCUACUCCGCGACCUUAAUAUAUCUCUUCAAUACGACCGGUUCCGCGGUAUUCAAAUAUCAAACAUGCAGACGUUAUAAUUUCGUAUUCUUACAAAAGGAUACACACAAAAUACGGCAGAAUCGGACUCAAGUACACUAGGAGUUUAUACCAGAAAUCAACGAAGUAACUACUAAAUCAUCUUUUUACAAGGUAAAUACGAGUCAUGAUGUCAUGAACCAACUUCGUCGAAAACUAGGAAGCUGUGUAAAGUUAGGCAACUUAGCGCCCAAGUAAAUACAAGCGAGAUCACAAAUGAGACCAAGACUUGGACCAUAGAACCAGCAUGACUCUACGAUCAAAAACGACCAGUACAUCAACCAGGAGGAACAGAGAGAGAGAGGAACAUGGCCUUUAAACAACCACGAGAACCCUCACGCGCGAGGACGCGCACUUUUUAUAAUAAACUUUACAGUUUUCAUAA
rnacentral:rRNA from 1 species